UUCGGGGGGAGCAAGCGUUGUUCGGAUUUACUGGGCGUAAAGGGCGCGUAGGCGGUCAGCACAAGUCAAUUGUGAAAUCUCCGAGCUUAACUCGGAAAGGUCAACUGAAACUGUGCGACUAGAGUGCGGAAGGGGCAACUGGAAUUCUUGGUGUAGCGGUGAAAUGCGUAGAUAUCAAGAGGAACACCUGCGGCGAAGGCGGGUUGCUGGGCCGACACUGACGCUGAUGCGCGAAAGCCAGGGGAGCGAACGGG
rnacentral:rRNA from 1 species